rnacentral:rRNA from 1 species
AUUCCCCUCUUUCUUAAUUCUUUACACAUGCAAGUCGAGCGGCAGCACGGGGGCAACCCUGGUGGCGAGCGGCGAACGGGUGAGUAACACAUCGGAACAUGCCCAGUCGUGGGGGAUAACACUUCGAAAGAAGUGCUAAUACCGCAUACGUCCUGAGGGAGAAAGCGGGGGAUCGCAAGACCUCGCGCGAUUGGAGUGGCCGAUGUCAGAUUAGCUAGUUGGUGGGGUAAAGGCCUACCAAGGCAACGAUCUGUAGCUGGUCUGAGAGGAUGAUCAGCCACACUGGGACUGAGACACGGCCCAGACUCCUACGGGAGGCAGCAGUGGGGAAUUUUGGACAAUGGGGGCAACCCUGAUCCAGCCAUUCCGCGUGAGUGAAGAAGGCCUUCGGGUUGUAAAGCUCUUUCGGCAGGAACGAAACGGUGAGCUCUAACAUAGCUUGCUAAUGACGGUACCUGAAGAAGAAGCACCGGCUAACUACGUG